rnacentral:rRNA from 1 species
GUGGGGAAUAUUGGACAAUGGGGGGAACCCUGAUCCAGCCAUGCCGCGUGUGUGAAGAAGGCCUUUUGGUUGUAAAGCACUUUAAGCGAGGAGGAGGCUACCGAGAUUAAUACUCUCGGAUAGUGGACGUUACUCGCAGAAUAAGCACCGGCUAACUCUGUGCCAGCAGCCGCGGUAAUACAGAGGGUGCAAGCGUUAAUCGGAUUUACUGGGCGUAAAGCGCGCGUAGGUGGCCAAUUAAGUCAAAUGUGAAAUCCCCGAGCUUAACUUGGGAAUUGCAUUCGAUACUGGUUGGCUAGAGUAUGGGAGAGGAUGGUAGAAUUCCAGGUGUAGCGGUGAAAUGCGUAGAGAUCUGGAGGAAUACCGAUGGCGAAGGCAGCCAUCUGGCCUAAUACUGACACUGAGGUGCGAAAGCAUGGGGAGCAAACAGGAUUAGAUACCCUAGUAGUCC